rnacentral:lncRNA from 1 species
GACUCUUGAUUGCAGCUGACAGAAACUCAUGACAGCCUGGUUUAGAUAAAGGGGGAGAGAAGGACUGGAAGAAUCUUGGAGUUGGGAAUGUCGCACGUAAUUGAAGGAAGAACAAGAAAACUAUAAUUCUUCCCCUGGAGGCUGGAGUUUCCAGGAUGUCAAAAUUACCUCUGCUUGGGUGAGCUAUUUCAAGCAGCUGGGAUACCUGUGUCACUCCUGCUGUCUGCCAGUGACUGCCCAGGUGUCUGCUGGUUCCUCCCCAGGAGUAGGGAGGAACCAGGUGGGCUGGCUGGGAUGGGUGGAUAUUUAAAGACCAGGCCUUGGACGCCGCAGCACUUCUAUCUCUGCUUGAUGCCUGCUGCCACGUGGCUGGUCCUCCUCCUCUUGCUGUGGCUGAGCCCUGGGGUGAAGACAGGCAGCUAUUCCCAACCCCAGAACCUUUGCUGUCUUGGAACAGAUCACCACUGCAAGAGGGGAAGUUGCUACUGUGAUGAAUUCUGCCAUGUGGUACCAGACUGCUACCCAGACCACAGUGUCCUCUGCAACCCUCGUAACUCACAUACAGGCCUGAUUCCACCUACAGCAAAGCUGGAUGCUAUGGUUGGCAGAGGCAAACCCUUUGCCUGCACUUCAGGCCAAAGCCGGGAUGUGGCCUAGAUGGUUCCUAAGGUCCCUGACAAUCCUGAGAUCUUGCAUCUUGUCUAUUUCAGGUCAAAGCUUCUCAGAUGACCAAGAUGGUGCUGCA